rnacentral:misc_RNA from 1 species
UCCGAGUUGACCCCGGCAGUCUCCCAUGAGUCCCCGGCAUAACCCGCUGGCAACAUGGAACGAGGGUUGCGCUCGUUGCGGGACUUAACCCAACAUCUCACGACACGAGCUGACGACAGCCAUGCACCACCAGUGCACUGGCCCCGAAGGGCUGCCGCAUUUCUGCGACAUUCCAGUGCAUGUCAAGCCCUGGUAAGGUUCUUCGCGUUGCGUCGAAUUGAACCACAUGCUCCGCUGCUUGUGCGGGUCCCCGUCAAUUCCUUUGAGUUUUAGCCUUGCGGCCGUACUCCCCAGGCGGGGCACUUAAUGCGUUAGCUGCGGCACCCAGGGGGUCAAUACCCCGGACACCUAGUGCCCAUCGUUUACAGCGUGGACUAC